UACGGGGGGGGCAAGCGUUGUUCGGAAUUACUGGGCGUAAAGGGUUCGUAGGUGGCUUGUUAAGUCAGACGUGAAAUCCCUCGGCUCAACCGGGGAACUGCGUCUGAGACUGGAAGGCUUGAAUUCGGGAGAGGGAUGUGGAAUUCCAGGUGUAGCGGUGAAAUGCGCAGAUAUCAGGAGGAACACCAAUUGCGAAGGCAGCUCGCUGGGACGUUACUGACGCUGAGACGCGAAAGCGUGGGGAGCAAACAGG
rnacentral:rRNA from 1 species